rnacentral:sRNA from 1 species
UGCUCAGCAGAGGAGCAACCAGAUGAACAAGAAGAAGACUUCAGGGAACCAGAUGUCUGCAGAAACAUCCCUCAUCAGAAGCGCUUGCUCAGUUGUACACAUGAGCCCGAG